UACGGGGGGGGCAAGCGUUGUUCGGAAUUACUGGGCGUAAAGCGUGCGCAGGCGGUUGUGCAAGACAGAUGUGAAAUCCCCGGGCUCAACCUGGGAACUGCAUUUGUGACUGCACGGCUAGAGUUCGGGAGAGGAUGGUGGAAUUCCCAGUGUAGAGGUGAAAUUCGUAGAUAUUGGGAAGAACACCGAUGGCGAAGGCAGCCAUCUGGACCGACACUGACGCUGAGGCGCGAAAGCGUGGGGAGCAAACAGG
rnacentral:rRNA from 1 species